AACGCACAUUGCGCCCGCUGGUAUUCCAGCGGGCAUGCCCGUUCGAGCGUCAUUUUAAUCCCUUCCCGGGAGACUCUUCUAUUCUGUAGUGGAGUGUCCACGGGGCGUUGGCACUGGGCGCCUUGUUUUUUUAGGCGGCCGGAGCUGAAAUGAAGCGGCGGACUCGCGGCGGCCCCUAGCGCAGUAGAACAACCCUUCUCGCUUAGGAGAGCUGUAGCGGUGGACCACAGCCCUUACAUGCUUUUUUUUAAAAAAAAAGCUACAUCUAAAAACUUGACCUCGGAUCGGGUAGGACUACCCGCUGAACUUAA
rnacentral:misc_RNA from 1 species